rnacentral:rRNA from 1 species
UACGGGGGGGGCAAGCGUUGUUCGGAAUUACUGGGCGUAAAGGGCUCGUAGGCGGCCAACUAAGUCAGACGUGAAAUCCCUCGGCUUAACCGGGGAACUGCAUCUGAUACUGGAUGGCUUGAGUUCGGGAGAGGGAUGCGGAAUUCCAGGUGUAGCGGUGAAAUGCGUAGAUAUCUGGGAGAACACCGGUGGCGAAGGCGGCAUCCUGGACCGACACUGACGCUGAGGCGCGAAAGCUAGGGGAGCAAACAGGG